rnacentral:rRNA from 1 species
AGUGAACGCUGGCGGUAGGCCUAACACAUGCAAGUCGAACGGCAGCACAGUAAGAGCUUGCUCUUACGGGUGGCGAGUGGCGGACGGGUGAGGAAUACAUCGGAAUCUACUUUUUCGUGGGGGAUAACGUAGGGAAACUUACGCUAAUACCGCAUACGACCUACGGGUGAAAGCAGUGGAUCUUCGGACCUUGCGCGAUUGAAUGAGCCGAUGUCGGAUUAGCUAGUUGGCGGGGUAAAGGCCCACCAAGGCGACGAUCCGUAGCUGGUCUGAGAGGAUGAUCAGCCACACUGGAACUGAGACACGGUCCAGACUCCUACGGGAGGCAGCAGUGGGGAAUAUUGGACAAUGGGCGCAAGCCUGAUCCAGCCAUACCGCGUGUGUGAAGAAGGCCUUCGGGUUGUAAAGCCCUUUUGUUGGGAAAGAAAAGCAGCAGGUUAAUACCCCGCUGUUCUGACGGUACCCAAAGAAUAAGCACCGGCUAACUUCGUG